rnacentral:rRNA from 1 species
UACGUAGGGACCAAGCGUUGUUCGGAUUUACUGGGCGUAAAGGGCGCGUAGGCGGCGUAAUAAGUCACUUGUGAAAUCUCCGGGCUUAACUCGGAGCGGCCAAGUGAUACUGUUGUGCUAGAGUGCAGAAAGGGCAAUCGGAAUUCUCGGUGUAGCGGUGAAAUGCGUAGAUAUCGAGAGGAACACCUGAGGCGAAGGCGGGUUGCUAGGCUGACACUGACGCUGAGGCGCGAAAGCUAGGGUAGCAAACGGG